rnacentral:tRNA from 1 species
AUAGCUCAGUAGGUAGAGCGUCUGCCUCAUGAUCGGAAGGUCGGGGGUUCGACCCCACU